rnacentral:rRNA from 1 species
UACGGAGGGUGCGAGCGUUAAUCGGAAUUACUGGGCGUAAAGCGUGCGUAGGUGGUUCGUUAAGUCAGAUGUGAAAGCCCUGGGCUCAACCUGGGAACGGCAUUUGAAACUGGCGGACUAGAGUUUAGUAGAGGGGAGUGGAAUUUCAGGUGUAGCGGUGAAAUGCGUAGAUAUCUGAAGGAACACCAGUGGCGAAGGCGACUCCCUGGACUAGAACUGACGCUGAGGGACGAAAGCGUGGGUAGCAAACAGGAUUAGAGACCCUGGUAGGCCACGCCGUAAACGAUGUCAACUAGCCGUUGGUCCUAUUUACAGGAUUAGUGGCGAAGAUAACGCAGUAAGUUGACCGCCUGGGGAGUACGGCAGAAAGGUUA